ACAGACAGCACUUUUUUCCACCUGUCAGCUUGGACUUUCCCCCACCUCCCUGUAGCAGGACUCUUCCAAUCUCUCCUGCUCUGAUUCAAACCUGGGAAUAACAAGCCGCCGGAACAGCAGGACCAGCACUCCAAAAUCUGCCUGGCCACUGGCAGCACCAGCCACUGGAGCUCGAGACCAUUUUGGAACCAGGGCGCAGUGAACAGCUGGCUCGAAUGAACGCCUGGGAGCCCACACCCUCUCUGUUCCUCAAAUAACAAUGUUUGUUGCAUUCUUAUUACACUGAAAGGAAAGCAAUAAGCAUUUGGGAAAACCACAUCUACAGGCUGGUGUGUGGGAGGACAUUACGAUGUUAUCCUGUGCAGCAAUCUCUUACUUCUCUCUCUACAUUUGAUAAUAAAAACAAUGGUUGAACAAAUGUCCCUUUCA